UACGUAGGGGGCAAGCGUUGUCCGGAUUUAUUGGGCGUAAAGAGCGUGUAGGCGGCCAGGUAGGUCCGUUGUGAAAACUGGAGGCUUAACCUCCAGCUGUCGAUGGAAACCAUCUGGCUAGAGUCCGGAAGAGGAGAGUGGAAUUCCUGGUGUAGCGGUGAAAUGCGCAGAUAUCAGGAAGAACACCCGUGGCGAAGGCGGCUCUCUGGGACGGUACUGACGCUGAGACGCGAAAGCGUUGGGGAGCGAACAGG
rnacentral:rRNA from 1 species